GAUGAACGCUAGCUACAGGCUUAACACAUGCAAGUCGAGGGGCAGCAUGCAGGUAGCUUGCUAUCUGUGAUGGCGACCGGCGCACGGGUGAGUAACGCGUAUCCAACCUUCCCCGUAGUAGGGCACAGCCCGGCGAAAGUCGGAUUAAUUCCCUAUGUUCUCCAAUGCAGACAUCUAAGUUGGAGCAAAGAUUCGUCGCUAUGGGAUGGGGAUGCGUCUGAUUAGGUUGUCGGCGGGGUAACGGCCCACCGAGCCUGCGAUCAGUAGGGGUUCUGAGAGGAAGGUCCCCCACAUUGGAACUGAGACACGGUCCAAACUCCUACGGGAGGCAGCAGUGAGGAAUAUUGGUCAAUGGAGGCAACUCUGAACCAGCCAAGUAGCGUGCAGGACGACGGCCCUAUGGGUUGUAAACUGCUUUUAUAAGGGGAUAAAGGAUGCCACGUGUGGUGUUUUGCAUGUACCUUAUGAAUAAGGACCGGCUAAUUCCGUGCCAGCAGCCGCGGUAAUACGGAAGGUCCGGGCGUUAUCCGGAUUUAUUGGGUUUAAAGGGAGCGCAGGCGGGCGAUUAAGCGUGACGUGAAAUGCAGCGGCUCAACCGUAUGAAGUGCGUCGCGAACUGGUUUGCCUUGAGUGAGUUCGACGUGCGCGGAAUUCGUGUGUAGCGUGAAAUGCUUAGAUAUCACGAGGACUCGAUGCGAGCAGCGCACGAGCCUUACUGACGCUAAGCUCGAAAGGUGCGGUAUUCGACAGGAUUAAGAAUA
rnacentral:rRNA from 1 species